rnacentral:rRNA from 1 species
AUUGAACGCUGGCGGAAUGCUUUACACAUGCAAGUCGAACGGUAGAGGGGGCAACCCCUUGAGAGUGGCGAACGGGUGAGUAAUAUAUCGGAACGUGCCCAGUCGUGGGGGAUAACGUAGCGAAAGUUACGCUAAUACCGCAUACGAUCUAAGGAUGAAAGCGGGGGAUCGCAAGACCUCGCGCGACUGGAGCGGCCGAUAUCAGAUUAGGUAGUUGGUAGGGUAAAGGCCUACCAAGCCAACGAUCUGUAGCUGGUCUGAGAGGACGACCAGCCACACUGGAACUGAGACACGGUCCAGACUCCUACGGGAGGCAGCAGUGGGGAAUUUUGGACAAUGGGCGAAAGCCUGAUCCAGCCAUUCCGCGUGCAGGAUGAAGGCCCUCGGGUUGUAAACUACUUUUGUACAGAACGAAAAGGUUUCUAUUAAUACUAGGAGCUCAUGACGGUACUGUAAGAAUAAGCACCGGCUAACUACGUG